rnacentral:ncRNA from 1 species
GUUAGACCUGCGAGGAGAUGGCCAUCCAGAGGUAAGAGUGGGCAAAGCCCACCGCCAUCUCCUACCCACCCAAAGGUGGGAUUGCAGGUCGGGAGGU